ACGCGUUAAGUAUCCCGCCUGUGGAGUACGAUCGCAAGAUUAAAACAUAAAGGAAUUGACGGGGACCCGCACAAGCGGUGGAGCGUGUUCUUUAAUUCGAUGCUAAACGAAGAACCUUACCAGGGCUUGACAUCCCUUGAAUUACUCCGAAAGGAGUGAGUGCUUUAUUGAGUAAGGUGACAGGUGAUGCAUGGCCGUCGUCAGCUCGUGUCGUGAGAUGUUUGGUUAAGUCCAUCAACGAGCGCAACCCUUAUACUUAGUUGUAUUUUUCUAGGUAGACUGCCCCGGUAACGGGGAGGAAGGGGGGGAUGAUGUCAGGUCAGUAUUUCCCUUACGUCCUGGGCUAGAAACGCGCUACAAUGGCCGGUACAAUGCGGAGCUAAAUCGCGAGAUGGAGCAAAUCGCAUCAAAGCCGGUCCCA
rnacentral:rRNA from 1 species